UUCUGCCUUUCUGCUGGAGGGAAGUGUUUUCACAGGUCAUGCUCUAUCAGAUUUCAGAAGAAGUGAGCAGAUCAGAAUUGAGGUCUUUUAAGUUUCUUUUGCAAGAGGAAAUCUCCAAAUGCAAACUGGAUGAUGACAUGACCUGCUGGAUAUUUUCAUAGAGAUGGAGAAGAGGGUCAUCCUGGGAGAAGGAAAGUUGGACAUCCUGAAAAGAGUCUGUGCCCAAA
rnacentral:lncRNA from 1 species